AUUGAACGCUGGCGGCAGGCCUAACACAUGCAAGUCGAACGAGUGGCGGACGGGUGAGUAAUGUCUGGGAAACUGCCUGAUGGAGGGGGAUAACUACUGGAAACGGUAGCUAAUACCGCAUACCAUCAGAUGUGCCCAGAUGGGAUUAGCUUGUAGGUGGGGUAACGGCUCACCAAGGCGACGAUCCCUAGCUGGUUUGAGAGGAUGACCAGCCACACUAGAACUGAGACACGGUCCAGACUCCUACGUGAGGCAGCAGUGGGGAAUAUUUCACAAUGGGCGCAAGCCUGAUGCAGCCAUGCCGCGUGUAUGAAGAGGGCCUUCGGGUUGUAAAGUACUUUCAGCGGGGAGGCGUUACCCGCAGAAGAAGCCCCGGCUAACUCCGUGCCAGCGGCCGCGGUAAUAG
rnacentral:rRNA from 1 species